rnacentral:miRNA from 2 species
UAUGGUCUGAAGUUGCUUUACA